AAAAGUGUAAAUCAGGACAGGUGAAAUAACAUCUUGCAUUUUUCUUAAAAAUUGUUAUAGGAAGAAUGAACAAAACUGAUAAGAGUGUAUUUCUUGCUCCUUGUCCAGUUGGUGAAGCAUCACCAAAAGAAUCUGGAAGAGAAGAAGAAAAUGAAGAAGUAGUAGGAGAAAAUAUUUCAGAUGCUUGCAAAGCGAAAGUGAAAGUUUUGAUAAUUAUUAUGAAACGCGUGUUGACGAUCUCAUAAAAGCAGCAAAUAUACUGGAGCAAGCAUUAAUUGAACAAAAGACAAUGCUGAAA
rnacentral:misc_RNA from 1 species